UACGGAGGGUGCAAGCGUUAAUCGGAAUUACUGGGCGUAAAGCGCACGCAGGCGGUUUGUUAGGUCAGAUGUGAAAUCCCCGGGCUCAACCUGGGGACUGCAUUUGAAACUGGCAAGCUAGAGUCUCGUAGAGGGGGGUAGAAUUCCAUGUGUAGCGGUGAAAUGCGUAGAGAUGUGGAGGAAUACCGGUGGCGAAGGCGGCCCCCUGGACAAAGACUGACGCUCAGGUGCGAAAGCGUGGGGAGCAAACAGG
rnacentral:rRNA from 1 species